AUGGCUGUCGUCAGCUCGUGUCGUGAGAUGUUCGGUUAAGUCCGCUAACGAGCGCAACCCUCGCCGUAUGUUACAAGUGUCAUACGGGACUGCCGGUAAAAGCCGGAGGAAGGUGAGGAUGAUGUCAAGUCAGCAUGACCUUUAUAUCCAGGGCUACACACACGCUACAAUGGUCUGUACAAUUGGUUGCCAAGCCGCGAGGCGGAGCCAAUCCGUAAAGCAGGCCUCAGUUCAGAUUGCAGUCUGCAACUCGACUGCAUGAAGCCGGAGUUGCUAGUAACCGCAGGUCAGCAAUACUGCGGUGAAUACGUUCCCGGGUCUU
rnacentral:rRNA from 1 species